rnacentral:rRNA from 1 species
UGGGGAAUAUUGCACAAUGGGCGCAAGCCUGAUGCAGCCAUGCCGCGUGUGUGAAGAAGGCCUUCGGGUUGUAAAGCACUUUCAGCGGGGAGGAAGGCGAUAAGGUUAAUAACCUUGUCGAUUGACGUUACCCGCAGAAGAAGCACCGGCUAACUCCGUGCCAGCAGCCGCGGUAAUACGGAGGGUGCAAGCGUUAAUCGGAAUUACUGGGCGUAAAGCGCACGCAGGCGGUCUGUCAAGUCGGAUGUGAAAUCCCCGGGCUCAACCUGGGAACUGCAUUCGAAACUGGCAGGCUAGAGUCAUGUAGAGGGGGGUAGAAUUCAAGGUGUAGCGGUGAAAUGCGUAGGGAUCUGGAGGAAUACCGGUGGCGAAGGCGGCCCCCUGGACAAAGACUGACGCUCAGGUGCGAAAGCGUGGGGAGCAAACAGG